GUCUUUGUAGUUUAUCCAAAACAUUUCAUUUUCAUUGAAAAAAAGAAAGAAUUUUCUUAAGAUU
rnacentral:tRNA from 1 species